GACGAACGCUGGCGGCGUGCUUAACACAUGCAAGUCGAACGGAAAGGCCCUGCUUGCAGGGUACUCGAGUGGCGAACGGGUGAGUAACACGUGGGUGAUCUGCCCUGCACUUCGGGAUAAGCCUGGGAAACUGGGUCUAAUACCGGAUAGGAGCCAUUUUUAGUGUGAUGGUUGGAAAGUUUUUUUCGGUGUAGGAUGAGCUCGCGGCCUAUCAGCUUGUUGGUGGGGUAAUGGCCUACCAAGGCGGCGACGGGUAGCCGGCCUGAGAGGGUGGACGGCCACAUUGGGACUGAGAUACGGCCCAGACUCCUACGGGAGGCAGCAGUGGGGAAUAUUGAACAAUGGGCGCAAGCCUGAUGCAGCGACGCCGCGUGGGGGAUGACGGCCUUCGGGUUGUAAACUCCUUUCGCUAGGGACGAAGCUUUUUGUGACGGUACCUAGAUAAGAAGCACCGGCUAACUACGUG
rnacentral:rRNA from 1 species